rnacentral:sRNA from 1 species
GGCCUUUUGGGAGCUCACUGGCUUCGGGUUCUAUCGGAACUCCGAAGUUAAGCGAGUUUGCACAAAAGUAAUCCCAUCAUGGGUGACCCACUGGGAAGUUCUCGUGUGAGUUCCCAGAAACAAAACCGUGAAGGUGUGGUCGGGGCCCAAAACGAACAAUAUCGUGGAACGGCGGAGUCGAGCCUGGGAUGUGGUGGGGGCCCGGGCCGGGAUGUGACAAUUUGGUAUCAUAGCCAAUCACUGGUCGGAAGUGUGCCGACGAGGACGUCGGGCCCCUAAAGGGGGGAUUGUAACAUCCCACAUCGCCUAGGGGAGUGGAUCCUUUAUUCCUUAUAUAUACAUGCCCACCUCUAUAUAGGACGACGUGUUUUGGGAGUUCACUGGCUUCGGGUUCCAUCGGAACUCCGAAGUUAAGCGAGUUCGCGCGAGAGCAAUCCCAUGAUGGGUGACCCACUAGGAAGUUCUCUUGUGAGUUCCCAGAAACAAAACCGUGAGGGUGUGGUUGGGGCCCAAAGCGAACAAUAUCAUGGAACGGCGGAGUCGAGCCUGGGAUGUGGUGGGGGCCCGAGCUGGGAUGUGACAAUUUGGCAUCAGAGCCAAUCAUUGGUCAGAAGUGUGCCGACGAGGACGUCGGGCCCCUAAGGGGGUGGAUUGUAACAUCCCACAUCGCCCAGGGGAGUGGAUCCUCUAUGCCUUAUAUGUACAUGCCCACCUCCAUAUAGCACGAGGCCUUUUGGGAGCUCACUGGCUUUGGGUUCCAUCGGAACUCUAAAGUUAAGCGAGUUCGCGCGAGAGCAAUCCCAUGAUGGGUGACCCAUUGGGAAGUUCUCUUGUGAGUUCC